rnacentral:rRNA from 1 species
GUGGCGGACGGGUGAGGAACGCGUGAGAACCUGCCUCAAGGUCGGGGACAACAGUUGGAAACGACUGCUAAUACCGGAUGAGCCUUCGGGUAAAAGAUUUAUCGCCUAGAGAGGGGCUCGCGUCUGAUUAGCUAGAUGGUGAGGUAAAGGCUUACCAUGGCGACGAUCAGUAGCUGGUCUGAGAGGAUGAGCAGCCACACUGGGACUGAGACACGGCCCAGACUCCUACGGGAGGCAGCAGUGGGGAAUUUUCCGCAAUGGGCGAAAGCCUGACGGAGCAAUACCGCGUGAGGGAGGAAGGCUCUUGGGUUGUAAACCUCAAAACUUAGGGAAGAAAAAAAUGACGGUACCUAAUGUAAGCAUCGGCUAACUCCGUGCCAGCAGCCGCGGUAAUACGGAGGAUGCAAGCGUUAUCCGGAAUCAUUGGGCGUAAAGAGUCCGUAGGUGGCACUUCAAGUCUGCUUUCAAAGACCGAAGCUCAACUUCGGAAAGGGAGUGGAAACUGAAGAGCUAGAGUAUAGUAGGGGUAGAGGGAAUUCCUAGUGUAGCGGUGAAAUGCGUAGAGAUUAGGAAGAACACCAGUGGCGAAGGCGCUCUACUGGGCAUAUACUGACACUGAGGGACCAAAGCUAGGGGAGCGAAAGGGAUUAGAUACCCCUGUAGUCCUA